AAUGAACGCUGGCGGCAUGCCUAACACAUGCAAGUCGAACGAAGGCUUCGGCCUUAGUGGCGCACGGGUGCGUAACGCGUGGGAAUCUGCCCUCAGGUUCGGAAUAACAGCGAGAAAUUGCUGCUAAUACCGGAUGAUAUCGCGAGAUCAAAGAUUUAUCGCCUGAGGAUGAGCCCGCGUAGGAUUAGCUAGUUGGUGUGGUAAAGGCGCACCAAGGCGACGAUCCUUAGCUGGUCUGAGAGGAUGAUCAGCCACACUGGGACUGAGACACGGCCCAGACGCCUACGGGAGGCAGCAGUGGGGAAUAUUGGACAAUGGGCGAAAACAUGAUCCAGCAAUGCCGCGUGAGUGAUGAAGGCCUUAGGGUUGUAAAGCUCUUUUACCCGGGAUGAUAAUGACAGUACCGGGAGAAUAAGCUCCGGCUAACUCCGUGCCAGCCGCCGCGGUAA
rnacentral:rRNA from 1 species